GACAUUUCCAACACUUAAUAUCUCUAUUUCUCUCCUGACUCUUCGAAUUUAGACUUUCCUUUCAUAGAAGACUCACCUUCUUCUUUAAGACUUCCACUCACAAACUGAUCUCUACUUUCCAUUCCAAUAUCUCCAACCCAUUACAAUGAUCCAAUAUCUCUCCUCAACUGUUGGAUGCUUUUGAUUUGGGCUGCCAAACUGAAAGAACGGGAAGAAAAGAAACAAAACCUUUAAACCCUUUUGAACGGUUAGUUUAUCACUUUACCUUCAGCCGUUCAACUUCCCGGCAGCCGCCACCAAAACUGAUUUUCGGCGUUCGAGUUGUUCUCCAAUGAGAUUAUGGUUACAAAGCUCUUCCUGACGCCACAAUCGCUUCCUCUCACUGCCUUUACCCCGAAAUUCAUCUUCCCCCGUAAGAAUUUUCUCCCGAUAUGCUUCACCUCACCGUUUUACUCCACCACAGUCCACUCCCAAUCUCAAUUCUCUCACCAAAGCCUCCCCUAUGGACCUUCUCUUUGCAAGGGUAUCCAUCCAUUUCCCUCAGUUUCCAGACAGUCUCCAAUCGAUCAUUCUCCACUUCUCAAGACCCUAACCGGAAACCUGGAGAGAGAGCAGUUGCAAAACGAGGAAAGUGAAGGAGCUAUAUUGGACGAAGAUGCCUUCACCCGGACUUUCGACGUUGCUGCACUUCGAGUUCCUUCCAAAGGCUGUUUCGAGCUUGAGAAUCGACUGCGUGGCCAUCUCUUGAACUGGCCGAGGAUUCACAACAUUGCUAGAGUUCCGGGGGAUGAGGUUGAAGCCGAAUUGGUGGAGCUUGUGGGAGAGCAGAAUUGGAGCAGUUCCGAUGAUGGAGAUGGAACUAGUAUUGAUUUGUUGCACCGAAGAAUUUAUGGGAAAGCUGAGGGUGAUGGGGAGCCUCUGAGUCCCGUGUUGUACAGGGAAAAGCUAGUGAAAACGUUCGAUUCAAAAGGAUAUGUGAACUUCAGACAUUUGGCGAAAAUGUCAAGGUUGAAGAGAAGGAAGGAGAAGAAGGAAGAAGGGAGAGAUGAAGAGAUGAGAAGAAUGGGAAAAAGUGAAUUUGCCAUUGUAGAGGUUGUGGAGAGUGAGGAACUGGAAGUGGAUGAUAUGAAGGGAUUGUUGGGAGAUGAGUUUAAGGGUGGAAAAUGGAGGGGUUCGACUAGGUUGUUGCUUUUGGAUGAACAAUAUGCAGCCAAAGGCGUAGUAGAGCUUCCAGAGGCGAUUAAGGCUCUGCUGAAAGGAGAUACCCAGGAAAGGAUGAAACCGACAAUUGAGCUUGUGAGGUGCAGACUUACUUUAUUUUAUGAUUAUUGGCAGAUGAAUGAGGUUUUGGAGGCUUUGCUUCCAAAGGAUAUGAUUAUUCCUUCAGCAUUUGAAACCGUUGGACACAUUGCACACCUAAACCUUAGAGAUGAACAUCUCCCAUACAAAAAGCUUAUAGCGAAGGUUGUUUUGGAUAAAAAUAAGCCAAAGAUACAAACAGUAGUGAAUAAGAGUGAUGCCAUCAGCAAUGAUUACAGGACAAUGCAACUUGAGGUUUUAGCUGGGAACCACUCCCUUGUGACCACAGUAGUUGAGAAUGGUUUACGAUUUCAUUUGGACUUGGCAACAGUGUAUUGGAAUUCAAGGCUCGCAACUGAGAGACAGAGGCUACUAAGUGUCUUUACCUGCAAUGAUGUCGUUUGUGAUGUCUUUGCUGGAGUUGGUCCAAUAUCAAUAUCUGCUGCAAGAAUAGUAAAGAAAGUAUAUGCUAAUGAUUUGAAUCCCUAUGCGGUUGAGUAUCUGGAAAGAAAUAGUGUUGCCAAUAAACUCGAGAGGAAGAUUGAGAGACUAACCACGAGAGAGCUGCCACUAUCGCCGUCGUUGCCGCCAUGGAAAAACUACUCCACCAGCUUCAAACAUUGCUAGUGAGCAGUUUGGGCCCACCCUUGGAGCCAACGACACUGCCUAGUGAAGGAAUCCAGCUGCACGCGCUGCUAUCCACCUUCUCUACUAUUCAACCGACCUACUCCUAACCAUUUUUCUCUAUCCAGUCACGAAACACUUUUGGUCAGCUACUGAUCCACGCGCCACUGUUGCUAGGGUCAUACAUCCACAUGCCGUCGUUGCCCUCUUUUCACGCGCUGCUGACUCACUCUUCAGCCCAAUCUAAACUAACCGACUUGCUGAUGUAUUCCAAGAAUCGAGGUUUUUAACAUGGAAGGAAGGAGAUUCAUCAGCGCUAUGUUUGCAAGUGAGAAAGCUCCUAAAAUAACACAAGUCGUCAUGAAUUUGCCAAAUGAUGCUGCUGAAUAUCUAGAUGCUUUCAAAGGAAUACUGAGAGACCGAUCGGAUAAA